UACAGAGGUCCCAAGCGUUGUUCGGAUUCACUGGGCGUAAAGGGUGCGUAGGCGGUCGGGUAAGUCUGAUGUGAAAUCUCACAGCUUAACUGUGAAACUGCAUUGGAUACUAUCCGGCUCGAGGAAUGGAGGGGAGACUGGAAUACUUGGUGUAGCAGUGAAAUGCGUAGAUAUCAAGUGGAACACCAGUGGCGAAGGCGAGUCUCUGGACAUUUCCUGACGCUGAGGAGCGAAAGCGUGGGGAGCGAACAGG
rnacentral:rRNA from 1 species